AACCGACAGCGACCUCUACCGGGCAAUAUGGCUAUUUAUUGAAGAAUCUCCAGAAAUCGUCCAAUCGGCGCUCGGAUUCUGUGUCACGUGACGGUGCAGCCGCGUAGAAGAAGGAGCAAACGGCAACAUCAAACAUGGAGGUGUCCCCGUUCAGCUUCACUCCGGAGAGGUACUGGACGGAGGAGAAAGAGAGGGCGCUUAUAGCGUUUUUCUCCAAGCACAGCUGUCUGUGGAACCACAAGUCCGACGGUUAUAAGAACCGGCAGCUGCGAUGGAAAACCCUGGAAACACUGAGGAUCCUGCUGUCAACUCUCCCACCUCCAGUCCCAUUCACAGUGGAAGACAUCAAAAACAAGUUCAAGAACCUCCGUACAACUUUUCAGCGUCAGUACAAAAUGGUUAAAGCAAGUAAGGUGUGCAACCCGGACGACGAGUUUGUGCCGCAGUGGAAGCACUACCAUCAGCUCAUGUUCCUGCAGGGCUGCUGGGACCAGGACGACCACGACUCCGCCGCCGGCGAACCGCCGCUGUCACCACUGAACGCUCUGCAGGAAGAGGGCCAGCCUGUCCUCACCUCCCCAGGACUCAUCAUCUCCUUCCUCCCCACCCCGUCCACGUCAUCCGCCUCCUCCUCGUCCACCUGUGUUCCCUCCAGUGUCAUGAUUAAAUGUUACUGGACUGAAGAGAGGGAGCGAGCUCUGAUUUCUUUCUAUUGUGAGCACAACUGUCUCUGGAACAAGAAGUCUGAAAACCACAACAACCGUCAGCUCAGACUGAGGUUGUUGGAGGCUCUGAGGAGCCAGCUGUCCGACCACACAGUGUCGUUCUCAGUUGAAGACAUAAAGUGCAAGUUCAAGAACCUACGGACUGUUUUUAACCGCGAGUUCAAGGCGGUCCAGGCGAGCAGGGUGUCUGACAAACCCUACGUGUCCAAAUGGAAACACUACCAGCAGCUGCUUUUUCUCUGCGAGUCCUGCGACGAAGACGACGGCUCUGAAGAUCUGCAGAUCCUGACACCGCAAGAAGACAAGGAUCGGGAGCACGGAAACCAGACCCCGUCCUCCACCCUGAGCAGUUUCUCCUCCAGCUCCAACCAAACCAGCAACAUCAAACUCAGCACCGCCUCCGCCCCCUCCAGCUCCACUCAGAGUGACGCCAAAACCGGGACAAGCGCUGGGUACCAAAUCUUCCUCCCUGCAGCUCCGGAUAACCUCAGACUAGGCAGCCAAUCAGCCACUUCCACGUUGCCAACUUCUCCAUCCAGUUCACUGCCAGAUACCAGAUCCUGUACCAACCCCUCCCCUUUAAAUUUUUCUACAGCCAGUUCGGUUCAGCCAGACAACAGACUGAGCGCUGACACCCGCUGCCUCUGGAGCGAGGCCAAAGUUCAGCAGCUCAUCUCAUUUUACUCCGAGCACAGCUGUUUGUGGAACCACAAAUCUGAGAGUUAUAGGAACCGUCUGCUGAGACAGAGCCUGCUGGAAACGCUGAGCAGCAUCCUGUCAGACAACGAGACGGUCCCAUUCACAGUGGAAGACAUAAAGACGAAGUUCAGGAACCUGCGAACCAUCUUCCAGCGUGAACACAAGGCGGUGAGCUCCAACAAAACAUGCGGCUCAGAGGACUUCUACCUUCCAAAGUGGAAGCACUACCGCGACCUCAUGUUCCUCUGCGACUCCUGCGACGAGGAUGAGCAGCCCGAGAACGUCCACUUCUGCCAGCUGCAGGACGCCGGUCUCCUCCACAUGGACAGCCAAGCCCCACCUCCCCCCUUACACUACCGUGCCACCAACCAAACUGUCUCCAAGCUGAACACGCGGGGUCUCAAAGCCCCACCCUCACCUACACCCCCAGAUUCCCAGCACUCCUCCCCUUCCUCGUCCCCCUCCCCUUCCACAUCUUCCUCCCACACAGACAGCAGAGUAUCUGGACGCAAGCGCACGAGCCACCGGGCGACCGCCACCGAGGUGCUGGACCUCAUGAGGACAUUAUGUCAGACCCAAGCAGCAUCCCCACAUGCAGGGUUCCUGAGGUAUGUGGAGGAGUGUCUGAAUGAGACGCCGCCUGACAAAGUGAGGAAGCUGAAGAAGAAGAUAAUAGAGACGAUUCACAGCAUGUCAGAGGAUGUUUAGUGUGCUUAUUCAUUCAUUUCAUUCUUGUUCUCAGCCCGAGUCUAGAUCUCGUGAUCAUCUUUUCUAAUAGCUGUGACGCUUUAAUCUCAAAACUUCGGUACAAUGAUCAUAAUAACCAUGAUUUCAGUUUUCAGGGGCUCUUCCAACAUGGAGCUGUUCCACUUCCUGUUCAUCCACAUCAUGCAGGAUAGAAAUGAACUGAGCUAAACAGCUUAAAUAGUGAAAAACCCACAUUUCAUUUUUUAGAAUGCUUAUCAAAACGCAGCAUCGAUAAUGUAGAUUAAAUAAAACACUUGUGGCAUUCGGCUUUAGAUUUAAUGUAGACGUAGAUGCUGUGACAUAUAGUGACCUAAAACUCAUAGAAAACUGUUUCACCGCAAUUCAAAACUGUCUUGACCACUGUCAUCACAAACAUGAUGAAUAUGUCAGCAAGAAAAAUUGUAAAAUUUACACUCCUUCCAAUAAAAACAUUGUCCCCCCCCCAACAAAACAAAAACAAUAAACACAUGACCCCACAUUUCUGGGGGAAAAAACUUAACUAUGUAAGUAAUACUGUAACAUACACUGAAAGCAUCAAUAUAGCUGAUAAACAAUAAUGUGACAGGAACACUUUUAAGCAUUUUAUGCAAAGGACAAAGUCCUGAAAAUAAUAUGAUUUGCACAAGCUAUGAUUAAACUUAAUAUGUACAGCCUGUGCUAAGAAAUGUUUCCAAAUUCUGUAGAAACAUUUAAACCAAUAUAAAAAUCAGUUUCUAAACAAAAACACAGAUUUGUGAACAGACACUAUAUAAACACUAAUUAAACGUAUAUAAUUCACUUCCUGGCUCCCUAAUUCUGCACUUUAUUGAAAUUUUGCAAGCCCUUCUUGCAGAUUUUGCAUGGAUAUCAUAGAUAACAGCAAACUGAUUUUUAUUUAGAAAUUGUUUGAGAACACUACAGCAAGCUGAGGCAUCUUCCUCCUGUGCAGGUUUAUCCCAAAGUAAUGAGGUUCAUCCCAAACUGGUACAUCCACCACUUAAAAUCAGCAUCACCACGUCCAUAUUCAGUGUUUACAGAGAUACAGUGAAACUGCGCUCAGUCCUCUGUGUAAUUUCAGACUUGGUUGUGACAUUCACGUAUAAAGACUUUAUUGAUCAAGAGUCCUUUGAAAGUGCCAAAGUUUAGAAAAAGAUGGGCUCAGCACUCUGUCAACAAACCGGUUUUGGACAUUUUGAAGAGCUGCGCUGUCGACAGUGACUGACCACAGAUCCUGUAGAAAUGUAAUCAAACUUUUCAUGUGUGUCCUCUUUAUUUAACUUGUUAUAAUCCUAUUGUGUCAUAAUAUUUAAAUAAUUUGCUUUUUUUUUUUUUUUUUUUUAACAAAGCCAGAAAUGUUACUUUUGUUAAAAUUGUAUAAACUUCUCUUAAAAUGUAAAAAUGUCAACAUGUAAAGAGUUAAACCUUUAGUUUAAAUGGUUUUGAUGCAAUAAUGAACAAUUGCAGCACAUGCUAUAACUGACAGUUUAGUUAUUAUUAUUAUUAUUAUUUUUAUUAUCAUUGUGUAAUUACUUUUCUUUUUGGCUGGCAUUUGUUUAAAUUCGAUUCAGUGCCUUAUCAGAAUCACAGUAACUGUGGACGUUUUUGUUCAAAUAAACCUACAUUUACA
ensembl:lncRNA